AACGCCAGGGUGCACUGAUAGAGGGA
rnacentral:piRNA from 1 species